GGUAAGAUGGCCGAGUGUUGAGGCGUUAGGCUGUAGUCCUUUUUACAGGGGUUUGAUUCCCCUUCUUACCA
rnacentral:tRNA from 1 species